rnacentral:rRNA from 1 species
UACGGGGGGGGCAAGCGUUGUUCGGAAUUACUGGGCGUAAAGGGCGCGUAGGCGGCCUGCUAAGUCGGACGUGAAAUCCCUCGGCUCAACCGGGGAACUGCGUCCGAUACUGGUGGGCUCGAAUCCGGGAGAGGGAUGUGGAAUUCCAGGUGUAGCGGUGAAAUGCGUAGAUAUCUGGAGGAACACCGGUGGCGAAGGCGACAUCCUGGACCGGUAUUGACGCUGAGGCGCGAAAGCCAGGGGAGCAAACGGG